rfam:Schistosoma mansoni, Puerto Rico, WGS project CABG01000000 data, contig: 0499
AUUUACCUGAUGAGUCCCAGAUAGGACGAAAGGCGCGUCCAGGAU